rnacentral:rRNA from 1 species
AGAGUUUGAUCAUGGCUCAGAUUGAACGCUGGCGGCGUGCCUAACACAUGCAAGUCGAGCGGUAACAGGUGUAGCAAUACAUGCUGACGAGCGGCGAACGGGUGAGUAAUGCUUUGGAAUCUUCCCAGUAGUGGGGAAUAACCAGUCGAAAGAUUGGCUAAUACCGCAUACGUCUGUAAAGGGAAAGCGGGGGCUCGUAAGACCUCGCGCUAUUGGAUGAGCCAAAGUCGGAUUAGCUAGUUGGUGGGGUAAUGGCUUACCAAGGCGACAAUCCGUAGCUGGUCUGAGAGGACGACCAGCCACACCGGAACUGAGACACGGUCCGGACUCCUACGGGAGGCAGCAGUGGGGAAUAUUGGACAAUGGGGGAAACCCUGAUCCAGCGACGCCGCGUGUGUGAAGAAGGCCUGCGGGUUGUAAAGCACUUUUAGUGGGGACAAAAAGCUACGGAUUAAUACUCUGUGGUCUUGAUUUAACCCAAAGAAAAAGCACCGGCUAACUCUGUGCCAGCAGCCGCGGUAAUACAGAGGGUGCGAGCGUUAAUCGGAAUUACUGGGCGUAAAGCGCGCGUAGACGGUUUUGUAUGUCAGAUGUGAAAUCCCUGGGCUCAACCUGGGAACUGCAUUUGAGACUGCAUGGCUAGAGUAUCGAAGAGGGAAGUGGAAUUUCCGGUGUAGCGGUGAAAUGCGUAGAUAUCGGAAGGAACACCAGUGGCGAAAGCGACUUCCUGGUCGAAUACUGACGUUCAUGUGCGAAAGCGUGGGGAGCAAACAGGAUUAGAUACCCUAGUAGUCC